AAAAAAUUAGUUAAAAAUUUAUAACAUUAGUUUGUCAAUCUAAAAUUGUCUUGCGGCAUUUUUUA
rnacentral:tRNA from 1 species